rnacentral:rRNA from 1 species
CCGUUACUCAGUUCAGAUUGCAGGCUGCAACCCGCCUGCAUGAAGUCGGAAUUGCUAGUAAUCGCGGAUCAGCAUGCCGCGGUGAAUACGUUCCCGGGCCUUGUACACACCGCCCGUCACACCAUGGGAGCCGGUAAUACCCGAAGUCGGUAGUCCAACCACGUGAGGACGCUGCCGAAGGUAGGAUUGGCGACUGGGGUGAAGUCGUAACAAGGUACC